UGGCAUCCAUUGCAACUUAGGUGCCGGUCCUC
rnacentral:piRNA from 1 species